AGUGAACGCUGGCGGUAGGCCUAACACAUGCAAGUCGAACGGCAGCACAGUAAGAGCUUGCUCUUACGGGUGGCGAGUGGCGGAAGGGUGAGGAAUACAUCGGAAUCUACUUUUUCGUGGGGGAUAACGUAGGGAAACUUACGCUAAUACCGCAUACGACCUACGGGUGAAAGCAGGGGAUCUUCGGACCUUGCGCGAUUGAAUGAGCCGAUGUCGGAUUAGCUAGUUGGCGGGGUAAAGGCCCACCAAGGCGACGAUCCGUAGCUGGUCUGAGAGGAUGAUCAGCCACACUGGAACUGAGACACGGUCCAGACUCCUACGGGAGGCAGCAGUGGGGAAUAUUGGACAAUGGGCGCAAGCCUGAUCCAGCCAUGCCGCGUGGGUGAAGAAGGCCUUCGGGUUGUAAAGCCCUUUUGUUGGGAAAGAAAAGCAGCAGGUUAAUACCCCGCUGUUCUGACGGUACCCAAAGAAUAAGCACCGGCUAACUUCGUG
rnacentral:rRNA from 1 species